rnacentral:rRNA from 1 species
AGCGAACGCUGGCGGCAGGCCUAACACAUGCAAGUCGAACGAACCUUUCGGGGUUAGUGGCGGACGGGUGAGUAACACGUGGGAACGUGCCUUUAGGUUCGGAAUAACUCAGGGAAACUUGUGCUAAUACCGAAUGUGCCCUUCGGGGGAAAGAUUUAUCGCCUUUAGAGCGGCCCGCGUAUGAUUAGCUAGUUGGUUGAGGUAAUGGCUCACCAAGGCGACGAUCAGUAGCUGGUCUGAGAGGAUGAUCAGCCACAUUGGGACUGAGACACGGCCCAAACUCCUACGGGAGGCAGCAGUGGGGAAUCUUGCGCAAUGGGCGAAAGCCUGACGCAGCCAUGCCGCGUGAAUGAUGAAGGUCUUAGGAUUGUAAAAUUCUUUCACCGGGGACGAUAAUGACGGUACCCGGAGAAGAAGCCCCGGCUAACUUCGUG